rnacentral:lncRNA from 1 species
CCCUCUUCACAUCCAAGGAGUUGGACAUUCAUCUGGUGCAAGGAAAAGGCGUGGUGACGCCUGGAAUAGGAAGGCUGUAGGACAUCUUCGACAGGCUGCUGCUCCAACUUCAGAAAAAGUUCUGAAGCACUUUCAAAUCAGAUAGAGAUCUAAUUUUUAGAGCGUAGAUUCAUGAGGAGAAGAUAUUCUAGGUCCUACCUGAGUGGAUACUGAUAGAGGCC